rnacentral:tRNA from 1 species
ACUUAAAUAGUUUAAAAUAAAAUAUUAAUUUGUGGGAUUAAAGAUAUAAGAGUUUAUUUUAAGUA